UACGUAGGGUGCGAGCGUUGCCCGGAUUUAUUGGGCGUAAAGGGCGCGUAGGCGGCUCUGCACGUCCGUUGUGAAAUCGCCCGGCUCAACUGGGCGGGGUCAGCGGAUACGGCCGAGCUUGAGCAAGCUAGGGGGCAAUGGAAUUCCCGGUGUAGUGGUGGAAUGCGUAGAUAUCCGGAGGAACACCAGUGGCGAAGGCGGCUUCCUGGACCGACACUGACGCUGAGGCGCGAAAGCUAGGGGAGCAAACGGG
rnacentral:rRNA from 1 species